rnacentral:lncRNA from 10 species
CUGAGACCUGGCGCCGGGCGCUUUGAGGCCCGGCUUACUCCCUUGCUGAACUGAUGUCCUGGGUCUCCUUCACAUCCAUCCUGGGAAGGUCUUAUUCCUCAUUCCUGAGCUCAUGUGAUUAUGGGGGUUGAGAAGCCCCACAAUCUGCUGUCUGUAAGCUGAAGACCCAGAAAGCCCAUGUUGUAGUUUAAAGCCCUGAUAACUGGAGAUGGUGUAGAUUCCAGUCCGAGUUUGGAGUCCUGCAAACCAGGAUCACCGAGGGCAGGAAAAGAUCAAAAAUUCAGUUCAAGAAGUCUAGCAGAGAGAAAGUGAAUCCUCCCUUCCUCUACCUUUUUGUUUUAUUCAGACCCGAAAUGGAUGAUGCCCACCCACAUUGCUCAUCCCACUGAAGAGCUAUGGCACUUCCAAUUCCUGAGCCUUUGUGAGGUUCUGCGUGUCAGUAAGCUUGCUUCCGGGCAUCACCUCCGAAAACACUUGGGUUUCAGUUUUCUCUGUGAGGCUUCUUAAGGAGUGGAGGAAAGUGGAUGUUUUCAAGAUAACGCAGCUAACAUUCAAAGAGGUUAAGUGAAUUGUC